GUCUAUCAAUCAACUGAGGGCUUUGUUCGAGUACAACACUAGUCAGGAUUUGUGGUUUUAAAAUGACAGGAAGAAAGAAUUCGUCAUCGACAGGAAGAAAGAAUUCGUCAUUGACAGGAAGGUAAUGCAUCAUCUUCAUCGGACUCAUUAUGACACAUAGAGGCCUUUCGAACCGGAAUAUACAGAAGAGCAGCAAUCACGCUUUGGUUCACUGGAGAUGUCUCCGGACAGACUAAUGCCUCCUGUUUGCAGUCUACUGGACAAGAUAGCAAUUCAAACAAGCCAAAAGACACAGAGGAGAGAACAUGGUGAGGAUUCGGAAGGCGGUGCCAAGGAAGGCAAGGGGCUCCUUAGCGGCGUGGCCACCGUCGAGACUCGUCGCCCAGUUCUUUUCUGAACCUACAUAAAUGUAAUCCUCAAUCUGACUUGAGUUGAAGAAACUAAAUUAUUUUUCUUUCUUUUUACUACAAUAAAAACUAUAUGGUUAGUUUU